rnacentral:rRNA from 1 species
AUAUCAAUAAGCGGAGGAAAAGAAACCAACUGGGAUUGCCUCAGUAACGGCGAGUGAAGCGGCAAGAGCUCAAAUUUGAAAUCUGGCCUCGGCCCGAAUUGUAAUUUGUAGAGGUGUCUUUGGCGUACACGUCGACCUGCAUUCCUUGGAAUAGGAUGGCACAGAGGGUGAGAUCCCCGUCCACGGUCAGUAGUCGUCGCCAUGUAUAGACCCUUCGACGAGUCGAGUUGUUUGGGAAUGCAGCUCAAAUUGGGUGGUAAAUUUCAUCUAAAGCUAAAUAUUGGCGAGAGACCGAUAGCGCACAAGUAGAGUGAUCGAAAGAUGAAAAGCACUUUGAAAAGAGAGUCAAACAGUACGUGAAAUUGUUGAAAGGGAAGCGCUUGCAACCAGACUCUUUUGCGGUUGAUCAUCCGUCCUUCUGGUCGGUGCACUCUGCCGUGCUUGGGACAGCAUCGGUCGGUGCGGCGGGACAAAGGCUUCGGGAAUGUGGCUCUCUUCGGGGAGUGUUAUAGCCCGUUGCGUAAUGCCGUCUGCUGCCGACCGAGGUCCGCGUUCUGCUAGGAUGCUGUCAUAAUGGUUGUAAGCGA